rfam:Nomascus leucogenys chromosome 18, whole genome shotgun sequence.
GCCAGAUGUGAUAACAUGUGCUUGUAAUCCCAGCUAUUCAGGAGGCUGAGGCAGGAGGAUCGCUUGAGCCCUGGAGUUCUGGGCUGUAGUACACUAUGUGGAUCGGCUGUCCACACUCAGUUUGGCAUCAAUAUGAUGACCUCCUGGGAGCAAGGGACCACCAGGUUGCCUAAAGAUGGGUGAACUGGUCUGGGUCGAAAAUGGAGCAGGUCAAAACUUCUAUGCUGAUCAGUAACAGGAUUGUGCCUGUGAAUAACCACUGCACUCAAGCCUGGGCAACAUAGCGAGACUCUGGUCUCCU